rnacentral:rRNA from 1 species
AUGCGCAGAUAUCAGGAGGAACACCGGUGGCGAAGGCGGGUCUCUGGGCCGAAACUGACGCUGAGGAGCGAAAGCAUGGGGAGCAAACAGGAUUAGAUACCCUGGUAGUCCACGCUGUAAACGUUGGGCGCUAGGUGUGGGGACCAUUCCACGGUUUCUGUGCCGUAGCUAACGCAUUAAGCGCCCCGCCUGGGGAGUACGGCCGCAAGGCUAAAACUCAAAUGAAUUGACGGGGGCCCGCACAAGCGGUGGAGCAUGUGGUUUAAUUCGAUGCAACGCGAAGAACCUUACCAAGGCUUGACAUACACUGGACCGUUCUGGAAACAGUUCUUCUCUUUGGAGCUGGUGUACAGGUGGUGCAUGGCUGUCGUCAGCUCGUGCCGUGAGGUGUUGGGUUAAAGUCCCGCAACGAGCGCAACCCUCGUUCCAUGUUGCCAGCGGGUUAUGCCGGGGACUCAUGGGAGACUGCCGGGGUCAACUCGGAGGAAGGUGGGGAUGACGUCAAGUCAUCAUGCCCCUUAUGUCCAGGGCUUCACACAUGCUACAAUGGCCUACACAAAGGGUUGCGAGACCGUGAGGUGGAGCGAAUCCCGUAAAGUGGGUCUCAGUUCGGAUCGGGGUCUGCAACUCGACCCCGUGAAGUCGGAGUCGCUAGUAAUCGCAGAUCAGCCAUGCCGCGGUGAAUACGUUCCCGGGCCUUGUACACACCGCCCGUCACGUCAUGAAAGUUGGUAACACCCGAAGCCCAUGGCCCAACCCGUGAGGGGGGGAGUGGUCGAAGGUGGGACUGGCGAUUAGGACGAAGUCGAAACAAGGUAGCCGUACUGGAA